rnacentral:rRNA from 1 species
AUUGAACGCUGGCGGCAUGCCUUACACAUGCAAGUCGAACGGCAGCACGGGAGCAAUCCUGGUGGCGAGUGGCGAACGGGUGAGUAAUGUAUCGGAACGUACCUUUCAGUGGGGGAGUAACGUAGCGAAAGUUAACGCUAAUACCGCAUAUUCUGUGAGCAGGAAAGACAGGGGAGUCGCAAGAACCUUGCGCUGAUUGAGCGGCCGAUAUCAGAUUAGCUAGUUGGUGAGGUAAAGGACUCACCAAGGCGACGAUCUGUAGCGGGUCGUGAGAGGAUGAUCCGCCACACUGGAACUGAGACACGGUCCAGACUCCUACGGGAGGGCAGCAGUGGGGAAGUUUGGUACGAAUAGGGCGGCAAGACCUCGAU